GAGAUAACAAGGUUCUAAAAUUCAGUCUUUAAACACAACAAGAUGAUCGUAGUCUUCUGCAUAGCCCUCAAUGUCAUACUGGUUUCAGGUUCCUCUCUCAGUGACAAAGUCUACCAGACUCCAGCUAAUGUAAUGUACAACGAACAAGGAAAAACAGCCAAAAUCCACUGUUCACACAGUAUUGACAGCUACAACCGAAUCCUCUGGUACAAGCAAUCAAACAGACAACUGCAGCUCCUGGGAUACAUGUUAGCAACCAGUGGAAACCCAGAGGCUGGUCUGGGUGUGAAGAUAGAAGGGAGUGCAGAUAAAGACCAGACCUGCACAUUAACAAUUGAAAAACUCAGCCUGAACAGCAGUGCAGUGUACUUCUGUGCUGCUAGUUUACACAAGAUGAACUGCAGCCACAACAAAGAUAUUUCUCAUAACCAGAUGUACUGGUACAGACAGCGUCCAGGGGAGACCAUGACCCUCGUUGUCUACACAGCUGUUGGUGGACAGCCAGACUACGGGGGGGCUCCUCAAACCAAAUAUUCAGCCAUCAAAGAAAUCACUGAGAGCGGGGCUCUUACUGUGAAAGACUUGCAGCUUGAGGACAGCGCUGUGUACUUCUGUGCCGUCAGUAAACACAGUGAUGUGACAAGUAUGAGCAGCUGA